ensembl:lncRNA
ACUCUCAUAGAUCAGUAGGGAGGAGAAGGCAGCUUCUGCCCUGGACUCUCCUUGGAGGAUUGUAACUCAUCAGCUUGGUUGAUUGUCAUCCAGUGAGGCUUACAGGGGUAUCAAGGACUUAGAGGUGCAAAGGCGAGUUUGGAAGUGAGGCAGGUCCUAAGGGGCUGAGUCAAGUCUGUUCUUUCUUUCUUGUUUAAAAAUCUCAUGUGCUGGAAGUCUUUAGUGUUCCUUAUUCCUCCUAGCACUUUUCCUUCCAAAUUGAAGACUCUUGACACAGUGAUCCUCCUCAUGUGACUAGGAGGAGAAUUUCCAAUUUUAGGGCAGGAUGAUACCUAAUGACUGUUGGAGCCGGUACUGGUGCCCCAAGAAGAUCCUGCUCUGUCAUUUCAGUCGUGUCCGACCCCAUAGACGGCAGCCCACCAGGCUCCCCCAUCCCCGGGAUUUUCCAGUGAUAGACUUGUUGCAGCUUCUUGAGCAUCUCCCAGAUAGAUCCCAGGAACCAAGCACAGAAAUUAAAGCAAGAAGCCAAGCAGUGUGACUUUAUGGCCAUUAACACACAAAGAAAAUCCUGUGAGGAUUCACGAACGAGUUAAAAGCGUGCUCUCAGCCCUGCCUAGUUCUGCAUUCUGUCACUCCUUACUCUCAAAUUCUCGACGAUAUACUGAGAGAAGUUCCUCAGAAAAAAAAACAGGCCGAAGGGAACGCCAAGCAUUUGUGACGUGAUUAAGGGAACUACCUCGGAGCAACAUAGAGGACCGCACCGUAGACAGGAAUUGAAUCGGCCUUCUCUAAAU